UCUUAGAUAAUGAAUCCUAUGGUUAUAAACGUUUGAUUUCGGAGAUGAUAUGCAUAAAAAGGCAGGCGAACGGUUUGAAUUUACAGACCGAUGCGGAGAGUUUACCGGACGCGUAUUUAAAUGUAAUCGAGAGACUGUCUAAGAUUUAGAAUAACUUUAUGCGAGAGUUUAUCCCCUCCUCUGGUUUAUACACCAGUCUCUAUUAUGUUAACCUUCCCACCUAUGCCUCACUCAUUCGCGACGUUUCGAACCGUGAAGUUUGUUGUUACAAUGCGAUAUUCCGGUCUGCAAUUGCUCUGUAGGGCUUUCGAAUCUUUCUUACCCACCUGGUCUUUCAACCUGGCGAGAUUAUUCCUAAGAUGCGAGGGAUGCGGAGCGAGCGUUUACCGGCGUAUCGGGAAUUCUGACAACG